GACGAACGCUGGCGGCGUGCUUAACACAUGCAAGUCGAACGGAAAGGCCCUGCUUUUGUGGGGUGCUCGUGUGCCGAACGGGUGAGUAACACGUGUGUAACCUGCCCUUGUCUUUGGGAUAACUUCAGGAAACUGGGGCUAAUACCGGAUAGGAUCUCCUGCUGCAUGGUGGGGGUUGGUAAGUUUCGGCGGUUGGGGCUGGACUCGCGGCUUAUCAGCUUGUUGGUGGGGUAGUGGCUUACCAAGGCUUUGACGGGUAGCCGGCCUGAGAGGGUGACCGGCCACAAUGGGACUGAGAUACGGCCCAGACUCCUACGGGAGGCAGCAGUGGGGAAUAUUGCACAAUGGGCGGAAGCCUGAUGCAGCAACGCCGCGUGCGGGAUGACGGCCUUCGGGUUGUAAACCGCUUUCGCAUGUGAUGAAGCGUGAGUGACGGUAAUGGGUAAAGAAGCACCGGCUAACUACGUG
rnacentral:rRNA from 1 species